rnacentral:tRNA from 1 species
GGAUGGAUGUCUGAGCGGUUGAAAGAGUCGGUCUUGAAAACCGAAGUAUUGAUAGGAAUACCAGGGGUUCGAAUCCCUCUCCAUCCG